UACGGAGGAAAAGAAACCAACUGGGAUUACCUUAGUAACGGCGAGUGAAGCGGUAAAAGCUCAAAUUUGAAAUCUGGUACUUUCAGUGCCCGAGUUGUAAUUUGUAGAAUUUGUCUUUGAUUAGGUCCUUGUCUAUGUUCCUUGGAACAGGACGUCAUAGAGGGUGAGAAUCCCGUUUGGCGAGGAUACCUUUUCUCUGUAAGACUUUUUCGAAGAGUCGAGUUGUUUGGGAAUGCAGCUCAAAGUGGGUGGUAAAUUCCAUCUAAAGCUAAAUAUUGGCGAGAGACCGAUAGCGAACAAGUACAGUGAUGGAAAGAUGAAAAGAACUUUGAAAAGAGAGUGAAAAAGUACGUGAAAUUGUUGAAAGGGAAGGGCAUUUGAUCAGACAUGGUGUUUUUUGCAUGCACUCGCCUCUCGUGGGCUUGGGCCUCUCAAAAAUUUCACUGGGCCAACAUCAAUUCUGGCAGCAGGAUAAAUCAUUAAGAAUGUAGCUACUUCGGUAGUGUUAUAGCUUUUUGGAAUACUGUUAGCCGGGAUUGAGGACUGCGCUUCGGCAAGGAUGUUGGCAUAAUGGUUAAAUGCCGCCCGUCU
rnacentral:rRNA from 1 species